rnacentral:lncRNA from 1 species
AACAACUUAAUAAGGCCCUUUGUUCAGCCCCUAUACUUACUUUUCCCAAUUUGCAAAUGGAAAUCAUGGUGGAUAUAUACAAAUGCUUCAGGUCUUGGGGUAGGAGUUGUGCUUCAGCAACAGGGCAAACCCAUAGCCUCUUUCAACAAAAAGUUGGAGGUAAGGCACCAGGACCUCUCAAUUUAUGAGAAGGAAAUGUUGG